rnacentral:rRNA from 1 species
UUAGUGGCGGACGGGUGAGUAACGCGUGGGUAACCUGCCUUACACAGGGGGAUAACACUUAGAAAUAGGUGCUAAAACCGCAUAAGCGCACAGCUUCGCAUGAAGCGGUGUGAAAAACUCCGGUGGUGUAAGAUGGACCCGCGUCUGAUUAGCUUGUUGGCGGGGUAACGGCCCACCAAGGCGACGAUCAGUAGCCGGCCUGAGAGGGCGGGCGGCCACAUUGGGACUGAGACACGGCCCAGACUCCUACGGAAGGCAGCAG